UACGAAGGGGGCUAGCGUUGUUCGGAAUUACUGGGCGUAAAGCGCACGUAGGCGGGCGAUUAAGUCAGGGGUGAAAUCCCGGAGCUCAACUCCGGAACUGCCUUUGAUACUGGUCGUCUAGAGAUCGGAAGAGGUGAGUGGAAUUCCCAGUGUAGAGGUGAAAUUCGUAGAUAUUGGGAAGAACACCAGUGGCGAAGGCGGCUCACUGGACUGGUAUUGACGCUGAGGUGCGAAAGCGUGGGGAGCAAACAGG
rnacentral:rRNA from 1 species